AUUGAACGCUGGCGGCAGGCUUAACACAUGCAAGUCGAGCGGAGAUGAGGUGCUUGCACCUUAUCUUAGCGGCGGACGGGUGAGUAAUGCUUAGGAAUCUGCCUAUUAGUGGGGGACAACAUUCCGAAAGGAAUGCUAAUACCGCAUACGUCCUACGGGAGAAAGCAGGGGAUCUUCGGACCUUGCGCUAAUAGAUGAGCCUAAGUCGGAUUAGCUAGUUGGUGGGGUAAGGGCCUACCAAGGCGACGAUCUGUAGCGGGUCUGAGAGGAUGAUCCGCCUCACUGGGACUGAGACACGGCCCAGACUCCUACGGGAGGCAGCAGUGGGGAAUAUUGGGCAAUGGGGGGAACCCUGAUCCAGCCAUGCCGCGCGUGUGAAGAAGGCCUUAUGGUUGUAAAGCACUUUAAGCGAGGAGGAGGCUACUGAGACUAAUACUCUUGGAUAGUGGACGUUACUCGCAGAAUAAGUACCGGCUAACUCUGUGCCAGCCGCCGCCAUAAUAC
rnacentral:rRNA from 1 species